rnacentral:rRNA from 1 species
UACGAAGGGGAGCUAGCGUUGCUCGGAAUCACUGGGCGUAAAGCGCACGUAGGCGGAUUGCUAAGUCAGGGGUGAAAUCCUGGAGCUCAACUCCAGAACUGCCUUUGAUACUGGCGGUCUCGAGUCCGGGAGAGGUGAGUGGAACUGCGAGUGUAGAGGUGAAAGUUCGUAGAUAUUCGCAAGAACACCAGUGGCGAAGGCGGCUCACUGGCCCAUUACUGACGCUGAGGCACGAAAGCGUGGGGAGCAAACAGGGAUUAGAAACCCUAG